CUACGGGUUGCUGCAGUGAGGAAUAUUGCACAAUGGGGGGAACCCUGGUGCAGCAACGCCGCGUGGAGGAUGACGCAUUUCGGUGUGUAAACUCCUUUUAUAUGUCAAGAAAAUGACGGUAGCAUAUGAAUAAGCACCGGCUAACUCCGUGCCAGCAGCUGCGGUAAUACGGAGGGUGCAAGCGUUACUCGGAAUCACUGGGCGUAAAGGACGCGUAGGCGGGUUGGAAAGUCAGGUGUGAAAUCCUACAGCUUAACUGUAGAACUGCACUUGAAACUUCUAAUCUAGAGUAUGGGAGGGGGAGAUGGAAUUAGUGGUGUAGGGGUAAAAUCCGUAGAUAUCACUAGGAAUACCUAAAGCGAAGGCGAUCUCCUGGAACAUUACUGACGCUAAGGCGUGAAAGCGUGGGGAGCAAACAGGAUUAGAUACCCGUGUAGUC
rnacentral:rRNA from 1 species